GAUGAACGCUGGCGGCGUGCCUAAUACAUGCAAGUCGAGCGAACAGAUGAGGAGCUUGCUCCUCUGACGUUAGCGGCGGACGGGUGAGUAACACGUGGAUAACCUACCUAUAAGACUGGGAUAACUUCGGGAAACCGGAGCUAAUACCGGAUAAUAUAUUGAACCGCAUGGUUCAAUAGUGAAAGACGGUUUUGCUGUCACUUAUAGAUGGAUCCGCGCCGCAUUAGCUAGUUGGUAAGGUAACGGCUUUCCAAGGCAACGAUGCGUAGCCGACCGGAGAGGGUGAGCGGCCACACUGGAACUGAGACACGGUCCAGACUCCUACGGGAGGCAGCAGUAGGGAAUCUUGCGCAAUGGGCGAAAGCCUGACGGAGCAACGCCGCGUGAGUGAUGAAGGUCUUCGGAUCGUAAAACUCUGUUAUUAGGGAAGAACAAAUGUGUAAGUAACUAUGCGCGUCUUGACGGGACCUAAUCAGAGAGCCACGGCUAACUACGUG
rnacentral:rRNA from 1 species